GUCUACGACCAUACCAUGCUGAACAUACCGGUUAUCGUCCGAUCACCGAAGUCAAGAAACAUAGGGCCUGGUCAGUAAUUGGAUGGGAGACCGCCUUUGAACACCGGGUGUUGUAGGCA
rnacentral:rRNA from 1 species